rnacentral:tRNA from 1 species
GACAAGUUGGCCGAGUGGUUAAGGCGAUGGACUACUAAUCCAUUGGGCUCUGCAUGCGUGGGUUUGAAUUCCAUCCUUGUCG